rnacentral:lncRNA from 1 species
GAAGUGGGCACUGGGACGCAGCUCUAUAAUUCCAUCCCAUGAUGUCCCAAGACUCACACCAAGUUCCUGUAACCUCUCAACUAUUCAAGGGGCUGGUGAACACGAACGGAGGGGUCUGGCCUCCAGCACUGUGAGAAGAGGCCCAGAGGAGCGGCCACACUAUUCCCAGAGUUGGCCGAGGGACUCGGACUCCGGUGUCAGUGGGAAUUCUGAAGCUCCCAGCACAUGAGCUCAUGCAUGGCAGAGUGCCCAACCCUGUGCUUCACGGCUUUGGAAUGUGUUUUCUAGGCCUGCCUGCCUUGCUCCCCCCAUCUUGCCACAGCAAGUGCUGCUGUCUGCUCUCGGCUCUUCAAAGCCUGGCAAAUUCCAGAAAGGUUAUUUAUUUUUGCACUGGUGUGUGAUGCUGUCCCAAGGCAAAAUUCUCCCUGGGGUCUCUUGCAAGCAGCGAGAAGACCCGAAGGACGUGGGCUGAGAAGACGGGAUGGCCCUUCUGACCCUGGCUCAGCACUGGCUCAGAGAGGGACAGGACCACGGCAGCAUUGCCACUCUCUCCUAAGUCUCCAGCCCCUGCCACUUCACCUGGCCCACAGUCAGCCUCAGGGAUGGAGGGCUGGAUGGAGAACUGUUAUCACCUCUCCAAGGGGACCGCGGGGUCUCCCCCCAGCUGUAUCUAAGCACUUGCAUCCCAGCAGCACCACUGGUCCUUUUUGGAUGAAUACGGUCCAUGUAGUAGAUUGCACGCACAGAGAGCACCUACCUCUGUCUGUGCCCACUGAGGCGCUCUGAUUUGGACCAAUCGGAUCACACCCCGUGCAAUGCCCUCCCCUCCCCCAUGGGGUGCCGAGGGAGAGCGGGGGGGGGGGUGGUUUUGAGAUGACCCUUGUCGUCUUCCCUUAGUGGUCUAUGAGAAUUUUAAGGCCAGAGGAUGGUCAUGGAGAAUGUGCAGAGGGAAGGGGAGG